GAGCUUACCUAAAGUUUUUUUUCCUUAAUGUAACUGCAGGAUUUUUAAUUUUUUUGCAGAAGAUAUAGCUGUAUAAAAAAAACUCUAUAUAAUACAUUUUACAGAAAAGGAUUCCUUGCUUUAAAAAAAAAGCAAAUGUUUUUAAAGGUAAAUAAAAUAUUUCUCCUUUACUAUGCCUUUAAUAGUUUCCUAUCUUUCUUCUUCUCCUUGUUAUCCCCCUUUCUUUUCUUCUCCUUGUUGCCAUCCCUCACACUCCUAUUUCUUUUUCUUCUUUACCAUAAUCACAAUGGCUGCCUUCAACAGAGGUCUUACUCAUAUGGUGGAUACUAUCUUACUCCUUCAAAUGUCUCAAUCAAAUGAAUACAUUUUUAAAUAAAACCAACCACAAGAUGGACUACACUGUAACUCCUUGAGUUAAGCAUGUAACUCCAUUUUUAAGAAUUAAGCUACCAGUUGAAUACGUUAUUUCCAGCAUCUGGAAGCCUGCCUCCAAAUCCUUAGAACAAGGUCCCAUAGAAUGGUAGUAUACAUCCGGCAGAGUUUUCAGGGAAUAUUUGCUGGUUAGGCAGUGUGCUAAUGCCAUCAUAGAAGUAGGGUCACCAUUUGAAUUCUUUUCCUUCACAUUCUUCUAUAUUUAUAGACAACCUUAGCCUUUGUUGAAAGAGAAAAAGUAUGAUUAGAUAGUUUACAUCUCUACUUCAAAAAAUAAAACAAUAACAAAAACCAGGGGAAAAAGCAUGCAACUGACUAUUACUAAAUGCUUAUUUAUUUUUGAGACAGAGACAGAGCAUGAGUGGGAGAAAGAGCAGAGAGAGAGAGAGAGAGACAGUCACAGAAUCCCAAGCAGGUUCCAGGCCUGACACGGGGCUCAAACUCAGGUACAGCUAAAUCAUGACCUGAGCCCAAGUCAGAUGCUUAACGGACUGAGACACCCAGGUGCUGCAGCUGACUAUUGCUUAAAUAGAAGGUAUAUCUUAUAAAAAAAGAAAAAUAUGGUUCUACUGUGCAAAUAAGAAAAACGCUUAGACAUAGCAACUUAUCCAAUAAGAGGCCAUAAAAUGUUGUAAUUAAGAUCGCUGCCUUUGCAGGUUGCACAGAACUGACAUCAAUCCUUGCUCCACAUUUUACUAGCCGAGCAACUUUGGAAAUGCCUCUUAUUAAAUCCCUGAUGGCUUGCUUUCACAAUAUAGCCUGACUUUGGGUCGGCUUCCUAAAAUGAGACACAACUGUUAAACUGAACUGACCGAUUUCUCAAGACUGAGACUGCUUCAGUGAGAUAUGGAGCAAUCUGUCAACUUAGCUUCUGGAUUGUGAAACUUCUUAUUUGAAAUUCCAAAGGAGGAACUGAAAGGGAGCAGCUUUUGCCACCUCAAAAUAUGUCUUUUUGGCGUAUUGAUUAUUUUAAAGUGGGUUAAGCCAUUUGAAGCAGUCAAGAGAUCUGUUACAUGGACCUAGUGAGAGCUUGAUGCAUUCGUCUGGCUUCUUUAUGAUCUGACAUACUUAUGGCCUUUGUGGUGAGUGUCAAGAAAGCCAUUUUGGCAUCAAUACUCCAUCUCAGGAGGCAACCAUACCACCUCAAUAGUCCUCUCCACUCUCUUGCUCUGAGCUCUCCAGUUCUUAUGAUCGUCCACGUUGAACUCAAUCUGUCAAAUUUCAGUACCUAGCAGUCUCUUGCCACCAGAAUUACACCACUAUAAAGAGAGAUGUUAACUUCCUCACUUCAGAUUCUAUAAUGGAAUUGAAAAAUCGGGCCUGCUCCUCUCUUAAAGAUUCCGAUCUGGGGUGGAUCUAGUCAGCCCUUAUUCCUAAACCAAAACCAUUCCCGGGUCUCUGCCUCUAUAAAAAAAUUUGGGACACAUAUCAAGAUCGGCAAUCAAUACUGAGGAUUGCCAAGGGUAACAUCCGUGAAAAUAUGAAAGACAAGAUUUAUUUCUACAUUUUUAUGAUGCCUUAUCAACUAUCACAAUGAUGUUCUUUUCCUCCUUUAAAUUUUUGUCUAUGAAUAUAGCUUUUAGAACUACUGAACAGGUAGUAAACAUAAGGAAUCACACUUGAAAAUCUAAAUUUGGAGAUCUUAAAAUACAGAAUAUGACAUAUCAAAUAUGCAUUUUUAUAUUAUGCAUGUUUUUUAUUUCUGUUGAAUUGGCUAUUGUUUGGGAAGAAAGCAUUGCUCCUACCAGACCUUUCCAUUUUUCUAUGUAACAUUGAUUUAUGGUUCAUUUGAAGUUAGUAAUGGGAAGGUCAUUACAUCAAUUAUACCUUUCUCACAUCUCUUCUAGGUGAAAUUAAUUUUAUCUUCCAGUGCAGAUUAUAUUAAGUCAAUAUGAUUAUUGUUUUAUUUCUGUAUUUCUGAUUUUAUUAUAAAUUAUCUGUACAUAUAACUAUGAAACACUUGCUUUUACAUAAAGUAAUUUCAUCCCCAUCCUUUUCAUUUAUUCAGUAGUUUAGGCAAGGAUUAUAUUUAAGAAAACUGAAGAAAGAUAUAUCCCACUUCAAACUUUAAACAGGGCCAGGUCUACAUUAAGGCAGAGGCCAUUCCUCAACCAAGAAUGUAAAUAAUCCCCCAGACUUCAAUCUAAGUUUCACUCUUCCAUCUCUGAACCCAAACCUUUGUUUCACCAUCAAAAAUUUCCCAACUUAGAAACUAAGGUCAGUAAAAAGCAAAAUACAUUUAUCAUACAUAUUUUUCAAGUAUCCAGUGCUCAGUUUUUAUUUCUGUUCCAUAUAGACUUAUAUAACUAAUUUUUACAUUCUAAUAAAAACAGCUAAUACUGAGUGCUUACUGUUUGAUAAGCAAUAUGGUUAAUAAUUUACAUGCAUUGUUUUAUUUAAUCAGAACAUAAACUAUGGAAACGCGUAUGAUGUUAUUUCCAUCUUAUAGCUGAGGAAACAAUUUAAAUGACUUGCUCAAGGCCUGCAGCUAGUAAAUGGAACUGAAUACAGAUCUGCUUCCAAAGUUUAUUCUCUAAAUCAUUGCACUCUAUUUCCUGUUUGUGAAAAGCAUCCAAUUUCUUUUUUUUUUUUUUAAUUCAGGGAUUAUUUUUUAGAAUCAAUCUGAUUUAGGAAGACAUACAUAUAAAAGAUAAGCUGUUGAUAAUAACAUGAACACCUUUUGUUUUUACCUAUAAUUAAUGUGAAUAUUUGAAAUUUGAGAUAAAUUUGAAAGCUGAAUGAUCUAAGCAUUUAUUCUAAAUGACAUACAAACAAAUCAGUGUGCAGCUUAUAAUUAAGAACAUUUACACAGUGGUAAAAUGUUAACUCUUAGGACACCAAAUUGUCUCAGUGGGAAUGGUUUUACCAUAUGAUAGAGGUUUGAAUUUCCAAGCAUUUGAGAUAAGCAUUUUUCUCCCUACAUCCUAACAAUGGAGUUGGAGCACUGAGUUGUCAGAGAAUCAGGUAAGAUCAACAGACUGAAAAGGGGUGGAGCAAAUCAGCAGGGGAUAGAAGAAAGUCCUGAAAGAGUCACUGUUGCCAGGCCAGUGAGGCUUUGUGGCUUUGGGAGUCUACCUUUCCCCACCAUUAUUCCAGGAAUGGUUGGCAUAGGGUCAGAAGCAGGGGGAAGCAUGUUUUAUAAUCCCUUUGUAUGCUUAAAUUUGUCUCACUUCCCCUGUGGUAACUGGAAUAUAAAAAAAUGAAUGUAAAUCUUAUAAAAUGAUUUAGUGGAAGACAGGUUUCUUAUAUUGUACUCAAUAUAUUGAUUGAAUGAAACCCUAGAUGUAAAAGGCCUUGUAAAUUCAGAUACAGCUCUUGAAUAGAAUCAACCACUCAAGUUUUCAUUGCAGCAAUGCCUUAACAUCACCUUUCUUGUCUUGAUGCAAGUGGGACAGGGAAUCAGAGGGUAUAAAAGAGAACAUCUAAUUUGCAUACCUCACUAAGAAGCCUGAUUCCCAGAGCAAGUGACUAGAGGGACAUUUGUGUGAAGAUCUAGUAAGCUUAUUGAAAAAACCAUGACUUUAAUGCUCAGUUGACUAGGACUGGUUUGCUCUCCAUCUAGUGGUUUUCAACUGGAACAGUGUUGUUCCCCAGGGGAUGUUUGGAAAUAUCUGGGAACCAUUUUGGUCAUUAGACUCAAAGCAUGCUGCAUGCUACUAGCAGCUGUGGUAGAGGUAAGGGAUCCUGUUAAACAUCAUACAUUGCACAAGACCACUCACCACCAGAACAAAGAAUUAUCCAUCCCAAACUGUUAAUAACGUUGAUGAGAAACUCUGCUCUGGGAAAAUGCCAAAAAAGUUGAAAAUAAAAUUGAACAAAAUAGGUUAAAACUUGUUGCCAUUCUCUGUAGGAAGUACCUGAGUAAGCAGGGAACAUACUCUAAGAUGAAAAGUGCAAGGUAACUAAUUUUAUUUGAGAUGGUUACCAUCUUGGCAAGAGUAAUGAUGCUGACCCACAAGAGAUAAUGGACCACUCUGCAAAAGGAACAUGUGUGAUCCUGAGAUGAUCUGUUUGGAGCCUCUUGGUAUUACCUUGCCCGAUUGUAACUAUGGAUGGACAAGGGAAACAAUCCUAGCUUUACGACCUGGGAGGUCCUAAGAGGGUGCAGAAUGUCUACCAAUCUCAGAAAAUAUAAUUUGAGGAAGGGAGAGGUUGUCACUGCCCAUUUUGUCCUUGUCUCCCUUGGGCACAAAAUUAAGACGCUGGCCCACUUUCUUCCUGGGUGAGCUCCCCUAGAUGCUCACCUUCUCUUAGUUUCAACCACAAAUGGUCUGUUGUUUAUUUAUCUUAUGAAGUUUUGAGUAUUCUUAUUUAUUUCUUAAGUAACUUCUACACCCAACGUGCAUUUUGAACUCACAACCCAAGAUCGAGAAUUGCAUGCUCUACCAACUGAGCCAGUCAGGUGCCCUCACAAAGUUCUGUUCUUAUCCCUAGUCCAUCCUGUCACUGUUUUGUUUUGUUUCGUUUUUCCUACACCCCUUUGUGUGAGUUUUUCUAUAGUAAGUGAAUUCCCCUGCAUACUAUGUCUCUUGUAGCAUAGUUUACUCCUAUCUUCACUAAAGUCUGGCUCAUUCCUGAAGGCAUUCUCUCGACUGAUGAUUAUUCCUGCAUGCUUUACACACCUCAGUGUUGGGAGUGGAAGUCAUCUUAUCCUCUUCUUCAUUCACAGUAUGGUUUCCAGAUAAUUUGCCUUCUCCCUUAUGCCAAACCUGCUAUGCCACUGAUAUUCCUGCUCUUAGUCUUUGCAAUUCUGUAUCCCUCAUCAUCGUUGCCUGUCAGCCUUUGGUCACCUGCUUUCAUUCACUGAUGUUAUGAACUUAACAUCAGCUUCCUCUUUCUAGCUAAUUCCCAGCCAUCUGAGUCCCAGAACUCACUGAGAAAACAGACAUCUUUCUCGGUGAGUUCAAACAAUACUUUAACAUUUCAAGGACUAGUACACCUGUGACCAUUUGGAAAUGAGUACUGGAUUCACACAGCUGCCCUACUUAAUAGUGGUGAUAGUGAGGUAACUGCCUAUGUAAAAAUCCUUGUUAAGAGGAAGCCAAAAUAGGAGUGACUGACAAGGGAAUAUGCCUCAAAAUUAUGGGAGCUAAAAGAUACGAGGACUACUUGAGAGGGGGCAUUCCAAAACUUGUAUUCCCAAAAAGUAUUUCCAGGUGCCCAUGAGAUGAAGAAACAUGGUAUCAUUGCUAAGUUGUCUCUACUUGUAUUGCUAGGUUGGUGGUGGUGAGGGACAUUUUAAUUACAUAAACUUAAUUUUUCAAUAGCAUUCAAUGUGUUUUAUAGAGAAUCACCAUGGGUCAGGCAUUAUUCUAUGUGUUUCCCAAAUAUUAACUCAUUCAUCAUAAAUUAUUACUUUAUACCAGUCAUUCUUUGAAAUCUUUUGUUUCUUUCCUGUCAUCAUCUGACUUAUAUUUACCUCUCUGGCUACUCUGAUUCAGUCUCAAUAUAAGCUUAAUAUCCUGUUUUAUCCUAAAAUGUUUUCCAAGGUGUUACUUUCAGCCUUUUUCUCAUCUCUUUUCCAGCUCAGCCUGGAUGAUUUCAUCCAUUUCCAGAGAUUUAAUUUUCACCCCACACCAUUUCUUCAUUACAGACCCAGAUUUGUAAUUUACUAGAGGAGGUCUCUACUUGUCCUCAGGAAUUUUCACUGAAUAUAUCUGAAACUUAAUUUGCGAUUUCUCCCCUUCAUUCUCCAAAUACACUUUUCCUGAUUUGAAAGGUUGAUGUAGUCUAUUCAUCUGUCUACAUCAAGGUCUUGAUACCAUUUUAACAAAUCCUUCCUGAGAUCCUAUAAGAAUUGAUUACCAAGAUCUAGUUAUUUUCUUUUUAAUGUAUUUUCUCUGAAUAUUGUCAUUUCUAUUUAAUAUCUUUUUAAUAUACAGUAAAACGUUGGAUUGCUAUUAACUUGGUCUGUGAGUGUUCCGCAAGACGAGCAAACAUUUCUAAUAAAUUUGAACUUGAUAAAGAAGUGACGUCUUGCAAUAUGAGUAGAAUGUGUUGCCAAAUGUCACAUGAUCACAACUGAGGCAAUGGUUCUUGAAAUUCCCUUUGAUAUACAAGUGCUUUAGAUUACAAGCCUGUCUCUGGAAUAAAUUAUGCUCAUAAACCAAGGUUUUACAGUAUUUUGUUGCUUUUCAUUUCUCUACAUUACCUUAGCUCAGGCCACCAUUACUGCUAGCAUGAAUUUCCAUAUCCUCCUAACUAGUCUCUCUCUCACACCAGUCUGCCCCACUCCAAUCCACCCUCCACUCUUAGCAUUGAGGAGGGCACUUGUUGGGAUGAGCACUGGGUGUUGUAUGUAAUCCAAUUUGACAAUAAAUUAUAUUAAAAAUAAAAUAAGAUGCAAAUCUCAUUAUGUCAAGCCUGAUUAAAACCCUCUAAAGGCUUCAUAUCAAAAUAAAAUGUAAAGUCCAAAUUUCUUGGGAUGGCAUAGAACACCUUUAGAGUUGGCCUCUGAUUGUUACCCUAGCCUCAUUGUUCAUUACUGUCCCAGUGGUCUCUAUUCCACCCUCAUAAUCCUACUGAUAAUUCUGCCAACUAUGUCUAGUCCUUCUCUUUUUUCCAAGCUUUUGCACAUGCUGCUCACUCAAGCUUUAAACUUCGUCACCAACUUUCCCCAUCCUCGCAUCUGAUUUCACUACACUACACUGUACCACUCUUCAGCGGCACCUUCUGGCUAGCUCCCAAUUUUGUUUCAGAUCAUGUAUCUCAGAAGCAUCCCUCUGACUCUUCUAAGCUUGGUUCAAUGUCCCUUUGAAGGACUUCCAGUGGAUACCAUGUACCAUCCUUAAAUAUACUCUUAACAUUUGUGGUUAUCAUUUUUUAUCUUCUGUAUUAGACAAUGAGAACUGUGCUUUCUCUCCUUUGAACUCUAGAGUUCAGCUUGUUCUUAGAACAUCAUGACUGUCCAAUAAAUAUGUAUUAAAUGAAUAUGUAAUGUUGAUGUCUGUAUGUUCCUGAGAAAGAGGUUCAGCAUGGAGUGACUGGAACUCUCUUCUGACCAACUUCAUGGCCGUUUCUGAUAAUGUGUUUCAGGAUUCUGGUAGAACUUGACUAGAAUAACUAGUUCCCAAUGAUAUUACCACUUUGUUUCUUGUGACUUUUUUGAAGAAUUUUGAUGAGAAAUCAGGAAGAGUAAAUGAGGAACAGCUAGCUCUUUCAGCUUAGAAAUCCUAUCACCUCCUUUUUCCAUUAAUUACAAAUGAAGUUUACAAUUUAUUUCUAUAGAAUUUCCCCUAUUGUUCAAACAUCAAGAUUAUUUUGGUAACUGAUACUUUAAUUAAGAUAAGAUUUGCUCCUAGUUUUGUAUCAUUAAAAAAAAAUAAUGUUUAUUUAUUUUGGAGAGAAAGAGAGAAGGAGAGAGAGAGAGAGGGAGAGACAGAAUUUGAGUGGG